ACUACGGGUGGCAGCAGUGGGGGAUAUUGCACAAUGGGGGGAACCCUGAUGCAGCGACGCCGCGUGGGUGAAGAAGCGCCUCGGCGCGUAAAGCCCUGUCAGCAGGGAAGAAAAUGACGGUACCUGAAGAAGAAGCCCCGGCUAACUACGUGCCAGCAGCCGCGGUAAUACGUAGGGGGCAAGCGUUAUCCGGAUUUACUGGGUGUAAAGGGGGCGCAGACGGCGAUGCAAGCCAGGAGUGAAAGCCCGGGGCCCAACCCCGGGACUGCUCUUGGAACUGCGUGGCUGGAGUGCAGGAGGGGCAGGCGGAAUUCCUGGUGUAGCGGUGAAAUGCGUAGAUAUCAGGAGGAACACCGGUGGCGAAGGCGGCCUGUUGGACUGCAACUGACGUUGAGGCCCGAAAGCGUGGGGAGCAAACAGGAUUAGAUACCCGAGUAGUC
rnacentral:rRNA from 1 species